rnacentral:tRNA from 1 species
GAAGGUAUAGCUCAGUGAUAGAGUGCAUGCUUAGCAUGCACGAGUGUUGGAUUCAAUCCCCAGUACCUCCA